GACGAACGCUGGCGGCGUGCUUAACACAUGCAAGUCGAACGGAAAGGCCCUGCUUUUGUGGGGUGCUCGAGUGGCGAACGGGUGAGUAACACGUGAGUAACCUGCCCUUGACUUUGGGAUAACUUCAGGAAACUGGGGCUAAUACCGGAUAGGAGCUCCUGCUGCAUGGUGGGGGAUGGAAAGUGUCGGCGGUUGGGGAUGGACUCGCGGCUUAUCAGCUUGUUGGUGGGGUAGUGGCUUACCAAGGCUUUGACGGGUAGCCGGCCUGAGAGGGUGACCGGCCACAUUGGGCCUGAGAUACGGCCCAGACUCCUACGGGCGGCAGCAGUGGGGAAUAUUGCGCAAUGGGCGGAAGCCUGAUGCAGCAACGCCGCGUGCGGGAUGACGGCCUUCGGGUUGUAAACCGCUUUCGCCUGUGACGAAGCGUGAGUGACGGUAAUGGGUAAAGAAGCACCGGCUAACUACGUG
rnacentral:rRNA from 1 species